UUCCUCGGCGUCAGGAUGAACGGCUGGCGGCGGUGCUUAACACAUGCAAGUCGAACGGAAGAUAUGCAGAGAUGAGAUUUCGGUUCAAAUACAAGUGUAUCUUUAGUGGCGGACGGGUGAGUAACGCGUGGGUAACCGUGCCAUAUACAGGGGAGUAACACUUAGAAAUAGGUGCUAAUACCGCAUAAGCGCACAUGGCCGCAUGGCCAGGUGUGAAAAACUCCGGUGGUAUAUGAUGGACCCGCGUCUGAUUAGCUAGUUGGUGAGGUAACGGCCCACCAAGGCGACGAUCAGUAGCCGGCCUGAGAGGGUGGACGGCCACAUUGGGACUGAGACACGGCCCAAACUCCUACGGGAGGCAGCAGUGGGGAAUAUUGCACAAUGGGGGAGACCCUGAUGCAGCGACGCCGCGUGAGUGAAGAAGUAUUUCGGUAUGUAAAGCUCUAUCAGCAGGAAAGAAAAUGACGGUACCUGACUAAGAAGCCCCGGCUAACUACGUG
rnacentral:rRNA from 1 species